rnacentral:lncRNA from 10 species
CCCUGCCCAGCCGCUGGCAGCCGGGACACUGGCCAGAGCAGUCCUGCCAGAUCCAGGCUCCCACAGCACCCCACAGGGCAGCGCAGGUGGGAAGCAAGUGGAUGGUCUCCAACUUCGAAGCCAUCCCAGCAAGCCCGCGGGAGAGAACCGUGCCCAUAGAGGUCUCAACAGGUUGUCCUGUGUGUCCACAGCCUCAAUAGGAAGAGAUUCUAGAUGUAUUUUGUGCUCACUGACGUGUGUUUGACAUUUCUCAACAACCCGUUUAUUUAGAAACAUCAAUAAAUGAAUGUGUAAUUGGAAAUGUUUUGGCAGGGCCUCCACAUUCUUCAGCCUUGACGAGUGAUCCUUCAUCGCUAGUGACGGCUCUCUGCCUGCAUCAGAGUUCAGCAGGCAUAGAGAAAGCUGACAGGCAAGUCUCUUUCCACUGAUAGCUGGAAUUUGGCAUUGAUGGUGUGAGCUCUCUGCAAUCAGCUUAGAAUUGCAUGGUGCUGCGAUGGAAAAUGGGGUUGACGCUGAGGCCGAAAUACCGCUGUGCUCAAAGUGAGUUGGGUUGUACUUGAAGAGAUCUCAUCAUAGAAGCUUAUUGUGUAACUUAUUUUUGGGAAAAAGAAAUCCCUGUAGGCCCACCUGUGGGUGUUAUGAGGUUCCUGAACGAGAGAGGCUUUGAAAGGAAUCCAUGCCCCUGGGAUGGAGGUGCCCAAUUUCAGAGAGAGCAGACGUGAACGGGAGCCAGAGACGCUUUAGAAUCUGCUUGAGAAAGAUCAUCUGCAUUCAUUUCAUGCAUGCUCCAAGAAUGUGAGUAAAGCUUAGAGUCUUCUAAAAGAGUGGAAUCAAACAAGAUAUGUGGAACUAAACAUCUGUGUUUGCCACUCAUUUUCCAUUUACCCGGCUAGAGCCGCUCUCUGCCCUAUCUGCCCUUCCCUGUGCCUGUGGAUGGGCCGAUGCAGUCAGAGGCCUUCUGACCCCACUGGAUGUAACCAAAGGCGCAGGGGCGGGGGGCAGCAGGGAGGGUCCUAGCGGGGAGAAGAGCACAGUCAGGGCAUAGGAUUCACAGGCUCGUUCCCUGAAGGGUGUCUCAAGCUGGCGUGUCCCUCAGCCAAAUGCCCAUCUCCUCUCGCUGUAGCCCUCCCCCUGCUGGUCUCUCUGCCAGCUUCAAGCAAGGCCUCAUCUCCACCUCCCAGUCCCACCUCCGGCUUCAGGGAACCAACGCCACACUGACACUAGCACCCGGACCCCACCCUGUCCCUUAUGGCCUCUCUCAUACAUCGUCUCCUCACUUGCACUCCCUGAGCUGCCCUUGCAAGUGAGCCACGGCUUCCUGCAGGGCCCUGGCACACCAAGCCCCUCACAGUCACCGCUACUGAUCUUUCCACUUGAGAGCCAGUGAUACCGUGACUUUGUGUGGGUCUUUGAAGAAACUGUCCUGCUAAAUACUCACAGUGCAGGGUGGUGUCAUCCAGGAAGCAGGCGACAGAGCUGUGUGGCCGGCUCCACAGAGGACAAGGAUGAGAAAUUGAAUAACUUCAAUCCAGCACUGGGGUCAUAUUCCCCAUAAGUAAAAACUAAAAGUACUCUCUGCCAUCAGCAUGCGCCGCAGGACUUUGGGCCGUCUCAACCUAAGGGACACGUGUGGAUCUCAGGAGCGGGAAGAGCAUGCUGUUUUCAAGCCUAAACCCACCCUUACACUCAAAUGUAAAAGUUAAAAAAAAAAUUCCUAUUAAUCUGCUGCCUCAUGGGAACAGAACAACCCUCCUUUGUAGAAAACAGAAGACCGAAUGCUCAGUACACAAAGUAUGUGAGCAGCAGCGAAUCUGUACAGGGCUGCAGUCUCCAUUCUCACCUCAAAGGAAAGAAUUCGUCCGAGGGGAAUAAGGCAGAGUGAGAGACUGAGGCAAGUUUAGGGCAGGAGUGACUAACUUAGCACCUCUUGGUGCCGUUGAGUCAUAGACAAUGUGUCUGCAAUCCUAAAAGAAUAAAUUAAACAUAAUUUGGC